ACGCGGUCUUCCCGCAAGGGAAAACUGAGUGGCGAACGGGUGAGUAACACGUGGGUGACCUACCUUCGAGUGGGGGAUAACGUCCCGAAAGGGACGCUAAUACCGCAUAACAUCCUGCCUUUGAACAGGCGGAGAUCAAAGCCGGGGAUCGCAAGACCUGGCGCUUGAUGAGGGGCUCGCGUCCGAUUAGCUAGUUGGUGAGGUAAUGGCUCACCAAGGCAACGAUCGGUAGCCGGCCUGAGAGGGCGGACGGCCACACUGGGACUGAGACACGGCCCAGACUCCUACGGGAGGCAGCAGUGGGGAAUUGUUCGCAAUGGGCGCAAGCCUGACGACGCAACGCCGCGUGGAGGAUGAAGGUCUUCGGAUUGUAAACUCCUGUUGCCCGGGACGAAUGGCUCCAACCUAAUACGUUGGAGUGUGACGGUACCGGGUGAGGAAGCCCCGGCUAACUCUGUGCCAGCAGCCGCGGUAAUACAGAGGGGGCAAGCGUUG
rnacentral:rRNA from 1 species